rfam:Schistosoma curassoni strain Dakar, Senegal genome assembly, scaffold: SCTD_scaffold0001206
AUCCAACUGACGAGUCCCAAAUAGGACGAGACAUGCGUCCUGGAU